GGCAUGGGUGAGCCGGAGAGUGACAGGGAUGCCUCAGUUGGCAGGUGAGGACCGCGCCAAGGAGCCUUGAGCUUAAUUCUGUAGCACGCAUGCGCGGGUGCUGCCGGGGAUGGCGUGCAGGGAAGUGGAGAGGUUAGCUGCCGCCCCCAGUGAUCUGACAGCCAGUCAGGAUGAGAGUGAUUUAGGAAACCCAAUGGGAGGCACGAAGAUAACCUAUAUCCAGAGACCUUGAGUUUGGAGACAGAACUGAUGGGGAACCUGAACACUGCCUUCUGGGAGACACGCAGCCUUGAGAAGGGUCUGCAGCUGAGUGAGUCUGGUGGAUGAUGUCAUUUAGGAGUGAAGAGAUGGCUGGAGCUCCUGAGUCCUCAUUCUUAUUCUGGAUUUGUCAUGGGGUAGUUAGAUGGCCCUGGAACUGGCUGCCCUGUACCUUGCUCUCCCUGCCCCAUCAGGGGUUCUUCUCCCACUGAGGCUACCUGGCAGAAAGCACAUGACCAGAGAGUACUUCCCAGUUUCCAGCCAGCCUCCUUCCAAGCCACCUCUACGCUGUGGCUCCACACAGCGGACAGCCACAGGCCUCUGGUUAAAUGACCCCUUCAAAGAGCUCAAGCAGGAACCCAGCUAGGUGAUAAAUGCUCCUGGUUCCAUUGGCAUUUAUGGCACAUAUAUGAUAAAGGACCCGAAAACAUUAUAAACUCAGAGCAGUUGGGAAAUACACCGGGAAAGCCCAGGGAAGACUGUCAUGCAUGUCCAGAGGGUAAUUCAUCUGGGAGUGCAGAAGCUGGAUGAGAGCUGACAUUGUGGGGACAAAGGAGGACUUUGCACACACAGCCCCCUCAGUGGGUGCUUCGUAUCGCCACGCCAUCCACGAAGUACUUGGAGCCAGCUCUCCUUACAGCUGCUUUGAAGUCUUCACAAAAUGAGCGGAAGCAUCCCCCAUCUUGCCCCAGGGCCGGUGUUCUUAUCCCCAGGCCCAGGGAUCGCCCAGGGUUUGCCAGUUUGUGCCUGGGGAAAACGUGAUGUCACCACCGAGGCACUACAGUCUGCUACCAUAAGGGCCCUUUCCUCCUCUGCGGGAGGUCCUUACUGUUAACUCCGCUCUGUGGACUCACAGAGCCUUCCAGGGUCUGUUCUUUUAUUUACAGCUUUAUCAUCUCUGUCUCCACCCUCUCAGUGUAUGCCCAGCACUUCCUGCUCUUUUGACCAAAUCAUCUCUUACACUUAGGGUCUACAAGUUCCUUAAGCCUCAGCUUUAUGCAGCAUCCUCUAAGGAGUCUCACAGAGUUCCCUCAGUCACAUCAUGCUUUGCCCUCUCCUGUGGUCCCAAGAGACUUUGCUGGUACCUCGGUAUCAGGUAGAGAUCUUGAGUUGCCUCCUUCCAGAGGACUCUAUUGUCUACCCAUCUCCUCCCCCAGGCUAGUCUCUUUAACCCUGGAGUACAUGGCAUCAUGUUGUGUGCACACAUGCAUGUGCGUGCGCGCAUACACCCACACACACCCACACACCCCUACUUUCUUUUGUGAUCUGAAUUCAAGUGGGCUACAGAACACACAGGGAGGUGUGGGAAGUGAUCAGAACAUCCUUAAACACAAUUCAACGGAACUAGUCAAAAGAUCCAGCUGUGUAGAAGCAGAUGGACCCAUUGUAGAAGUCAAGCCCUCUCUAAGCCUAGGAGACAUCAAUGCUAAUAACAACAGUGGCAAACCCACA